rnacentral:rRNA from 1 species
GAACGUGGGCGCCAUAAUGAGGAGUUACUUUUGGGCCGUUUCUCGUUAGCCGAGUUGGCGAUGCGGGAGGAGCCGACCACGAAGUUAAGGUUCCGGGAUGCGCGCUCAUCAGACCCCACAUAAGUUUUUUGUUCAUCUAGACAGCCCGACGGUGGCCAUGGAAGUCGGAAUCCCCUAAGGGAAAACUAAGAAAUCACGGGCCGAAAAACUAUCCUAGGGAAUGGAUGGCGCUCAAGGGUAAUGGCCAUCCUUAUCUAUCAGGGUUGAUACGAUGCCCCGGUGAGUAGGCAGUCAUGGGGGACCGUGACUUAAAGCCUU